rnacentral:sRNA from 1 species
UUACGCUGAGCCCGGGGAGGGGUCCCCGAAU